GAAUAAUUAUCUCAAUGGUAGAGUAUUUCGUUUACACCGAAAAUGUUAGCGGUUCGAGUCCGUUAUUAUUCA
rnacentral:tRNA from 1 species